rnacentral:lncRNA from 1 species
ACGUCGUGACGUCACGAAUACCUCCAUGCAUAUUCUGUUAUCCUAUUAACAAGUCGAAGCUUCCAUGAUCCAAACGCGAGAUGGCGCUGAUUAAAACUUUAAUUUUAUCAAUAUAUUUUUUUCUAACUUAUCGACGAAAUGUACUUCGUGAAUAUAGGAGAAAAAGUAGAAACGCAUUCGUUGACAGUAGCAAUAUUUAUAAGGUUAAAAAAUAUUUGAAGAGUCAUCGUAAAAGUAUCUAUACGAAAUUUUAUACGAAAAUAUAUUAUUUUUUUAUCGACACAUAAAAAUAACAUUCGAAUUUCGCAAAAAUUUCAACUCAAUUGCUCGAAUUGCAAAAUCGUUACACUUAUAAUUUUAUUUAUAGGUUAUGCAUAAUUUAUAAGCAUACAUGUUUAAUACUGUUUCAGUCAGCUUUUCAACAAAAUUUCAUCGAAAUGUUAUUCACCUAUUUACAUUUCCUUACGACCUCUUUUCGUUCAACUGAUAUCCAUUUUCAAAUUUUUCCACCAAGUUUCUCGUAUUUUUAGUAAUAAAUAGAUCGAUAAAAGUCGCAGUUCGAGUGAGAUCGUAUUCUAAAUUUUCAUUAGACAGGAUCAUUAAUCGUGAUCUCAGUCAUUUUGUUCUGUGUGUAUAUGUGUAUGUGUGGUGAAGUAUACACAUAAACUUCGUUCUUUCGUAAAAUCAGUUAUAGAAAAGAAAACGGAAUAAAGAAAGAGAAAGAUAAGAAGAGGAGACGUCGCGGCGCCUAUCCAGCAUACAAACGACGCCGUCUAGCUCAAUUUUGAAUUUAACAGUUUACCAUGAGAUUUAGCUCAGAAUAUUUUCACUCAAGUUUUUAAAAUAUAUUCUCAAAUAACCUAAAAAAUUGUACAGUCGAUAGACGUAUCUUAUAUCAUAUAUAUAUCAAAAUCAAAAUAUAUAUAUAAUUGAAAAGAAGAGAAAUAUUUUUAAGCUAAGAUAAAGGUAAUUUUCGUAAAUAAAAAGAAUUAAUUGCUAAUCCACCAAGUUGAACUUGACAUACUUUCGAAAUGUGACAUCCAAUGCAAUGGCAUUAAAACCCAAAGAAUCUUCGGUGCGCAGUAAUGAAAGCAUAGGUUGGUGAGAAGUGUUAGAGCGUCAGGACAUUCGGCGCCACAUUGCCGCGACCCAAAUAGUAAUAAUACCGUCGGCGAAGCUUCUGUCGAUGGAGACGCUGUUGCGAGUGAUGGAGGACGAGGAAGAAUGACCGUACACCACCUACAUUUGCCUCAAUCUUGGACUCUGUGUAUACAUUAUUAUUCGAGGAAAUUUUUACAAGUCCUUUGGAUCGGCCAUGUUCCUUCUAUGGUUCUCGUUUAGAUUAUUCUCGCCUGUCUUAUGGUUACACAACGCGUGUAUCGAUGCGUACGUAUAAAAAAUUUCAAGGAAGACCAUUAAGGGAGAGAGAAAGAAACUUUUCUCGUGUUGAUAAAUCAAGUUACGACACCCACGUAUCCAACAUCGUUGGGAAAAAUUCGAGCAAGCAGAUAUAAUAAUAAGAAUACAAAAUCGAAACGAAACGAACGAGACUUUGCAACCAAUUGCAAACAAUUUUUCGAAUCAAUAAAAAAAUGUAUUGUCAAGCAAUUAACUACGAUGAAACUCGUCAAUAUUUACCUCAUGAUUAGAAGUUGCAUGAAGAUAAUUGUAUCAAUUAUAUGCAAUUUUAUCGGCGAACUUUAGAUCAGAUUCAAAAUAGCGAUUAGUUGUUUGGCUAUCGAGGAAUCCACUUUCACAGAUAAACGCCGAAUUAAUUCACUGCUCUCUGUUUUCAUACAAUAGAUAUUAUUCGCUCGUAUUCUUUUAUUGUAAUAUGAAUUGGCCGAUCGCCAAAAACGAUUUUAUUACUUUCAUGUUCGGUGAAAAAUUGAUGGAAUAUUUCAGGAAAAUAAAAAUUUACUCGAAUAAGUGAUAGUUGCAGUUUUCACGAAUAAUUUAUCAUUUUUGAUGAACAAGUAUAGUUUUACAAACGAAAUUUC